rnacentral:rRNA from 1 species
UAGGGAAUCUUCGGCAAUGGACGAAAGUCUGACCGAGCAACGCCGCGUGAGUGAAGAAGGUUUUCGGAUCGUAAAACUCUGUUGUUAGAGAAGAACAAGUACGUUAGUAACUGAACGUCCUCUGACGGUAUCUAACCAGAAAGCCACGGCUAACUACGUGCCAGCAGCCGCGGUAAUACGUAGGUGGCAAGCGUUGUCCGGAUUUAUUGUGCGUAAAGCGAGCGUAGGCGGUUUCUAAAGUCUGAUGUGAAAGGCCCCGGCUCAACCGGGGAGGGUCAUUGGAAACUGGGAGACUUGAGUGCAGAAGAGGAGAGUGGAAUUCCGUGUGUAGCGGUGAAAUGCGUAGAUAUAUGGAGGAACAGCAGUGGCGAAGGCGGCUCUCUGGUCUGUAACUGACGCUGAGGCUGGAAAGCGUGGGGAGCAAACAGG